rnacentral:tRNA from 1 species
GGCCGUGUGCCCGAGAGGUUCAGGGACUCGCCUGCAAAGCGAGGUACGUGGGUUCGAAUCCCGCCACGGCCUCCC